UACAGAGGGUGCAAGCGUUAAUCGGAAUUACUGGGCGUAAAGCGCGCGUAGGUGGUUUGAUAAGUUGGAUGUGAAAUCCCCGGGCUUAACCUGGGUCGGUCAUCCAAAACUGUCAGACUAGAGUAUGGUAGAGGGUAGUGGAAUUCCUAGUGUAGCGGUGAAAUGCGUAGAUAUUAGGAGGAACACCAGUGGCGAAGGCGACUGCCUGGACUGAUACUGACACUGAGGUGCGAAAGCGUGGGUAGCGAACAGG
rnacentral:rRNA from 1 species